UACGUAGGGUGCAAGCGUUAAUCGGAAUUACUGGGCGUAAAGCGUGCGCAGGCGGUUCGCUAAGACAGAUGUGAAAUCCCCGGGCUUAACCUGGGAACUGCAUUUGUGACUGGCGGGCUAGAGUAUGGCAGAGGGGGGUAGAAUUCCACGUGUAGCAGUGAAAUGCGUAGAGAUGUGGAGGGAAUACCGAUGGCGAAGGCAGCCCCCUGGGCCAAUACUGACGCUCAUGCACGAAAGCGUGGGGAGCAAACAGG
rnacentral:rRNA from 1 species